rnacentral:rRNA from 1 species
UGGUGUAGUGGUGUGUUCUGGACCCGAAGCGGAGUGAUCUACCCAUGGCCAGGGUGAAGCGCGGGUAAGACCGCGUGGAGGCCCGAACCCACUUAGGUUGAAGACUGAGGGGAUGAGCUGUGGGUAGGGGUGAAAGGCCAAUCAAACUCCGUGAUAGCUGGUUCUCCCCGAAAUGCAUUUAGGUGCAGCGUCACAUGUUUCUUGUUGGAGGUAGAGCUACUGGAUGGCCGAUGGGCCCCACAGGGUUACUGACGUCAGCCAAACUCCGAAUGCCGACAAGUCCAAGAGUGUGGCAGUGAGACGGCGGGGGAUAAGCUCCGUGCGUCGAGAGGGAAACAGCCCAGAUCGCCGGCUAAGGCCCCUAAGCGUGUACUAAGUGGAAAAGGAUGUGCAGUCGCGAAGACAACCAGGAGGUUGGCUUAGAAGCAGCCACCCUUGAAAGAGUGCGUAAUAGCUCACUGGUCAAGUGAUUGUGCGCCGAUAAUGUAGCGGGGCUCAAGUACACCGCCGAAGCCGCGGCAACGAUUUAUCGUUGGGUAGGGGAGCGUCCUGCAUCCGGUGAAGCAGCAGAGUGAUCUAGCUGUGGAGGGUGUGGGAGUGAGAAUGCAGGCAUGAGUAGCGAAUAGGCAAGUGAGAACCUUGCCCGCCGAAAGACCAAGGGUUCCUGGGCCAGGCCAGUCCUCCCAGGGUGAGUCGGGACCUAAGGCGAGGCCGACAGGCGUAGUCGAUGGACAACGGGUUGAUAUUCCCGUACCCGUGUAUGUGCGUCCCUGAUGAAUCCAUUGUGCUAACCAUCCAAAACCGUCGUGACUGAUCCCUUCGGGGUGAGGCGUUGACGGGGCUGCGUGGGACCCCGGUGGGUAGUAGUCAAGCGAUGGGGUGACGCAGGAAGGUAGCCGUACCAGUCAGUGGUUGUACUGGGGUAAGCCUGUAGGGAGAAACGUAGGCAAAUCCGCGUUUCACAUAUCCUGAGAGGUGAUGCAUAGCCGUUUGAGGCGAAUUCGGUGAUCCUAUGCUGCCAAGAAAAGCCUCUAGCGAGGACAUACACGGCCCGUACCCCAAACCAACACAGGUGGUCAGGUAGAGAAUACUAAGGCGUACGAGUGAACUAUGGUUAAGGAACUCGGCAAAAUGCCCCCGUAACUUCGGGAGAAGGGGGACCCCCAUAUCGUCANNNNNNNNNNNNNNNNNNNNNNNNNNNNNNNNNNNNNNNNNNNNNNNNNNNNNNNNNNNNNNNNNNNNNNNNNNNNNNNNNNNNNNNNNNNNNNNNUCAAGGCUCUUGCGGCCGGCAGCGGGAGGGGGUGGCACAAACCAGUGAGAAGCGACUGUUUACUAAAAACACAGGUCCGUGCGAAGUCGCAAGACGAUGUAUACGGACUGACGCCUGCCCGGUGCUGGAAGGUUAAGAGGACCUGUUAACCCUUCGGGGUGAAGCAGAGAAUUUAAGCCCCAGUAAACGGCGGUGGUAACUAUAACCAUCCUAAGGUAGCGAAAUUCCUUGUCGGGUAAGUUCCGACCUGCACGAAUGGCGUAACGACUUCUCAACUGUCUCAACCAUAGACUCGGCGAAAUUGCACUACGAGUAAAGAUGCUCGUUACGCGCGGCAGGACGAAAAGACCCCGGGACCUUCACUACAACUUGGUAUUGGUGCUCGAUACGGUUUGUGUAGGAUAGGUGGGAGACUGUGAAGCAGCCACGCCAGUGGUUGUGGAGUCGUUGUUGAAAUACCACUCUGAUCGUAUUGGGCCUCUAACCUCGGACCGUAUAUCCGGUUCAGGGACAGUGCCUGGUGGGUAGUUUAACUGGGGCGGUUGCCUCCCAAAAUGUAACGGAGGCGCCCAAAGGUUCCCUCAACCUGGACGGCAAUCAGGUGUUGAGUGUAAGUGCACAAGGGAGCUUGACUGCGAGACGUACAUGUCGAGCAGGGACGAAAGUCGGGACUAGUGAUCCGGCACCUCUGAGUGGAAGGGGUGUCGCUCAACGGAUAAAAGGUACCCCGGGGAUAACAGGCUGAUCUUCCCCAAGAGUCCAUAUCGACGGGAUGGUUUGGCACCUCGAUGUCGGCUCGUCGCAUCCUGGGGCUGGAGCAGGUCCCAAGGGUUGGGCUGUUCGCCCAUUAAAGCGGCACGCGAGCUGGGUUUAGAACGUCGUGAGACAGUUCGGUCUCUAUCCGCCGCGCGCGUCAGAAGCUUGAGGAAAUCUGUCCCUAGUACGAGAGGACCGGGACGGACGAACCUCUGGUAUACCAGUUGUUCCACCAGGAGCACCGCUGGAUAGCCACGUUCGGACAGGAUAACCGCUGAAAGCAUCUAAGCGGGAAACCCCCUCCAAGACCAGGCUUCUCACCCUUUUAGAGGGAUAAGGCCCCCCGCAGACCACGGGAUUGAUAGACCAGACCUGGAAGCCUAGUAAUAGGUGCAGGGAACUGGCACUAACCGGCCGAAAACUUACAACAACC